rnacentral:rRNA from 1 species
CGGAGGGAUCAUUACCGAGUUUACAACUCCCAAACCCCUGUGAACAUACCAAUUGUUGCCUCGGCGGAUCAGCCCGCUCCCGGUAAAACGGGACGGCCCGCCAGAGGACCCCUAAACUCUGUUUCUAUAUGUAACUUCUGAGUAAAACCAUAAAUAAAUCAAAACUUUCAACAACGGAUCUCUUGGUUCUGGCAUCGAUGAAGAACGCAGCAAAAUGCGAUAAGUAAUGUGAAUUGCAGAAUUCAGUGAAUCAUCGAAUCUUUGAACGCACAUUGCGCCCGCCAGUAUUCUGGCGGGCAUGCCUGUUCGAGCGUCAUUUCAACCCUCAAGCCCCCGGGUUUGGUGUUGGGGAUCGGCGAGCCCUUGCGGCAAGCCGGCCCCGAAAUCUAGUGGCGGUCUCGCUGCAGCUUCCAUUGCGUAGUAGUAAAACCCUCGCAACUGGUACGCGGCGCGGCCAAGCCGUUAAACCCCCAACUUCUGAAUGUUGACCUCGGAUCAGGUAGGAAUACCCGCUGAACUUAAGCAUAUCAAUAAGCCG